rnacentral:rRNA from 1 species
UACGUAGGGUGCAAGCGUUGUCCGGAAUUAUUGGGCGUAAAGAGCUCGUAGGCGGUCUGUCGCGUCUGCUGUGAAAACCCGAGGCUCAACCUCGGGCCUGCAGUGGGUACGGGCAGACUAGAGUGCGGUAGGGGAGAUUGGAAUUCCUGGUGUAGCGGUGGAAUGCGCAGAUAUCAGGAGGAACACCGAUGGCGAAGGCAGAUCUCUGGGCCGUAACUGACGCUGAGGAGCGAAAGCAUGGGGAGCGAACAGGAUUAGAUACCCUGGUAGUCCAUGCCGUAAACGUUGGGAACUAGAUGUGGGGACCAUUCCACGGUCUCCGUGUCGCAGCUAACGCAUUAAGUUCCCCGCCUGGGGAGUACGGCCGCAAGGCUAAA